rnacentral:tRNA from 1 species
GGGCGAGUGGCGGAAUGGUAGACGCACCGGACUUAAAAUCCGUUGGGGUGAGUAACCCCGUACGAGUUCGACUCUCGUCUCGCCCA